AUUGAACGCUGGCGGCAUGCCUUACACAUGCAAGUCGAACGGUAAGAGGUCUUCGGAUGCUGACGAGUGGCGAACGGGUGAGUAAUACAUCGGAACGUGCCUAGUAGUGGGGGAUAACUACUCGAAAGAGUGGCUAAUACCGCAUGAGAUCUACGGAUGAAAGCAGGGGAUCGCAAGACCUUGUGCUACUAGAGCGGCCGGUGGCAGAUUAGGUAGUUGGUGGGAUAAAAGCUUACCAAGCCGACGAUCUGUAGCUGGUCUGAGAGGACGAUCAGCCACACUGGGACUGAGACACGGCCCAGACUCCUACGGGAGGCAGCAGUGGGGAAUGUUGGACAAUGGGCGAAAGCCUGAUCCAGCAAUGCCGCGUGCAGGAUGAAGGCCUUCGGGUUGUAAACUGCUUUUGUACGGAACGAAAAGCCCCGGGUUAAUACCCUGGGGUCAUGACGGUACCGUAAGAAUAAGCACCGGCUAACCACGUGCCAGCAGCCGCCGCGG
rnacentral:rRNA from 1 species